UGCUUUGGUUAGGAUAUCAGCCAAUUGUUCCUCGGAUCGCACAAACGGGAAUUCUAUGACUCCACCUUCCAAUUUUUCUUUAAUGAAGUGGCGAUCGACUUCAACGUGUUUGGUUCGAUCAUGUUGUACUGGAUUUUCUGAUAUGCUGAUUGCCGCUUUAUUGUCACAGAAUAACUUACUCUUUCGGUUUGGGGGAAAACCGAUCUCAGUAAGUAAUCUCCUAAGCCAUAUGAUCUCCAUGAGUCCACUCUUGAUGCCUCGGAACUCUGCUUCAGCACUUGAUAAGGCUACAACCUUUUGCUUCUUACUUCUCCAAGUAACUAGGUUGCCUCCGAUGAAGGUAAAGUAUCCACCGGUUGACUUUCUAUCGACUGGAUUACUUGCCCAAUCGGCAUCUGUAUAGCCAUCUACUUCAAGGUUCAGCUCCCUCAACAAUUUUUAGCCCAUGAUUCGGUAUCAUUGGUGUGUCAGCAGGCUUGCAAUCUAAGAGGCCAGUUUCUGCCAACAUGUCGAGGACAUAUUUUCUCUGUCUUAAGAAUAUUCCAUGAUUCGACCUGAGCACUUCAAUUCCUAAGAAGUAUUUUAGAGGGCCGAGAUCUUUCAUGUCAAAUUCUUUAAACAGAUUGAUCUUGAGGUUGUUGAUUUCUUCUGUGU